rnacentral:rRNA from 1 species
UACGUAGGGUGCGAGCGUUGUCCGGAAUUAUUGGGCGUAAAGAGCGUGUAGGCGGCCAUACAGGUCCGUUGUGAAAACUGGAGGCUUAACCUCCAGACGUCGAUGGAAACCGUAUGGCUAGAGUCCGGAAGAGGAGAGUGGAAUUCCUGGUGUAGCGGUGAAAUGCGCAGAUAUCAGGAAGAACACCCGUGGCGAAGGCGGCUCUCUGGGACGGUACUGACGCUGAGACGCGAAAGCGUGGGGAGCAAACAGG